rnacentral:misc_RNA from 1 species
GAUGAAGAACGUAGCGAAAUGCGAUAAGUAAUGUGAAUUGCAGAAUUCAGUGAAUCAUCGAAUCUUUGAACGCACAUUGCGCCCGCCAGUAUUCUGGCGGGCAUGCCUGUUCGAGCGUCAUUACAACCCUCAGGCCCCCGGGCCUGGCGUUGGGGAUCGGCAGAAGCCCCCUGUGGGCACACGCCGUCCCUCAAAUACAGUGGCGGUCCCGCCGCAGCUUCCAUUGCGUAGUAGCUAACACCUCGCAACUGGAGAGCGGCGCGGCCAUGCCGUAAAACACCCAACUCUUCUGAAGUUGACCUCGAAUCAGGUAGGAAUACCCGCUGAACUUAAGCAUAUCAAUAAGCGGAGGA